CCAGCCCAGUGGGAUUAACACCCAGUACUCCCAACGCUGACCAUCUCCUCAGAGGAGGCGAACAGCUGUUUCACUUCGCUGUGAAGAGGUGAGAGGAAGUAAGUAAACACUAAAGAGAAGGGGCCCAACGAUGGAUCCUUGAGGGACACCACAUGAGAGCAAAGCAGAUGCUGAACAACGUGUUCCUGAACAGGAGCAACAGAAAACCUUCAGACAGUUUCAGGCUUUGAGAACCUGCUGAUGGAGCUGCAGGACAAUCUAUUCAAGCAGACCGCCACUUCUUUCACAUUAAAGUUCCUGCUGUCGCCAGGAGAGGCUUUAUGGGAGAGCUCCUUCAUCACCUUUGGCCUGCAGUCUGCAGAGGACAAACACAGCAUCAUCAUCAUCAUCAUCAUCAUCAUCAGCCUCGGAGGAUGCUGGUGGUUCAGCACUGCAGGAUCUGACAUCUUCCCCGUCAAUCAAAAUAAAGCAGCAAUCAUAGCGCUGAGUAUCUGAAGCCAUGACAGGUGCAAACAAGUUAAAGGAGACAUGCAAAAG